UCAAGCUACAAAGGGCGUACGGUGGAUGCCUAGGCAGUCAGAGGCGAAGAAGGACGCGGACAGCUGCGAAAUGCUUCGGGGAGCCGCUAACAGGCUAUGAUCCGAAGAUCUCCGAAUGGGGAAACCCGCAGGGCGAUAAGCCCUCAACCAUCACUGAAUACAUAGGUGACGGUAGCCAACCUGGGGAACUGAAACAUCUAAGUACCCAGAGGAACAGAAAGAAAUCUCGAUUCCCUCAGUAGCGGCGAGCGAACGGGGAAGAGCCCAAACCGUGCGAUGCAAAUCGCGCGGGGUUGUAGGGCCCGCGACGUGACCGAGUACAGUUAAGCGAACGGCAUGGAAUGGCCGGCCAGAGACGGUGACAGCCCGGUAGUUGAAAACAGUGCAGAGUCUAGCGGGUACCUGAGUAUCGCAGGACACGAGCAAUCCGGCGAGAAUCCACGGGGACCAUCCCGUAAGGCUAAAUACUCCUGACUGACCGAUAGUGAACGAGUACCGCGAGGGAAAGGUGAAAAGCACCCCGGUGAGGGGAGUGAAAUAGUACCUGAAACCGUACGCCUACAAGCAGUGAGAGCACAAUGCGCAAGCAGGUGUGAUCGCGUACCUUUUGCAUAAUGGGCCUGCGAGUUACCCGGUGUGGCAAGGUUAAGCCGAUAGGUGGAGCCGUAGCGAAAGCGAGUCCUAACAGGGCGAGAAGUCGUACCGGGUAGACCCGAAACCUUAGCGAUCUAUCCUUGAGCAGGUUGAAGAGACGGGUAACACCUCUUGGAGGACCGAACGCACUAAAGUUGAAAAUUUAGGCGAUGACUUGAGGAUAGGAGUGAAAGGCUAAUCAAGCUGGGAGAUAGCUGGUUCUCCUCGAAAUAUAUUGAGGUAUAGCCUCGGACGAAUGCCAUCGGAGGUAGAGCACUGUUUGGGCUAGGGGUCCUACCCGAUUACCAAACCCAUACAAACUCCGAAUGCCGAUGAGCAGUAUCCGGGAGUCAGACAGUGCGAGAUAAGUUGCAUUGUCGAGAGGGAAAGAGCCCAGAUCGCCGUCUAAGGUCCCAAAGUUCGAUCUAAGUGUCAAAGGAUGUGGGAGCGCAUUGACAACCAGGAGGUUGGCUUAGAAGCAGCCAUCUUUUAAAGAAAGCGUAAUAGCUCACUGGUCAAGCGAACCUGCGCCGAAAAUAUAACGGGGCUCAAGAUCGACACCGAAGACGCGGGCUUCUUAGGAAGCGGUAGAGGAGUACUCUGACGCAGAUACACGCUGGACGGAAACGACCGGUACCGGGCGUCAGAGGAGCUUAUGCAGGCAUGAGUAGCGAUAAACCGAGUGAGAAACUCGGUCGCCGUAAGUCCAAGGUUUCCUGGGGUAGGAUAAUCCUCCCAAGGGUGAGCCGGUCCCUAAGUCGAGGCCGCGAGGCGUAGAUGAUGGAAAGCAGGUUAAUAUUCCUGCGCCAGACAGGGUGGCAUUGAAGUGAGCGGGGACGGAGUAGGAUAGCUGAGCACCGUGAAUGGAUCGGUGUUUAAGCCUGUAGGUGUUUCCCGUAGGAGUCGAUAGACACAAACGCGGGGAAGAGUAGCCGAGAGGUGAUGAGGCGGUUCUUCGGAGCCGAAACUCAGUGAUUCCAGACUUCCAAGAAAAGCCGCGCACAGAGCCUCUUGUUUGACCGUACUGCAAACCGACUCAGGUGGACGGGAAGAAUAUUCCAAGGCGCGUGAGAGAACCCUGGUUAAGGAACUCGGCAAAUUGACACCGUAACUUCGGGAGAAGGUGUGCCUUUGCGCGUGAAGGAGAACAUCCGGAGCGUGCGGAGGUCGCAGAGAAUCGGGGGUUGUGACUGUUUACUAAAAACCUAGCACUCUGCGAAGUCGCAAGACGACGUAUAGGGUGUGAUGCCUGCCCGGUGCUGGAAGGUUAAGGGGAAUUGUCAGCGCAAGCGAAGCAAUGAACCGAAGCCCCAGUAAACGGCGGCCGUAACUAUAACGGUCCUAAGGUAGCGAAAUUCCUUGUCGGGUAAGUUCCGACCUGCACGAAUGGCAUAACAACAUCCCCGCUGUCUCGACCAGGGACUCAGCGAAAUUGUAUUGGGGGUGAAGAUACCCUCUACCCGUGGCAAGACGGAAAGACCCCAUGAACCUUUACUGCAACUUGGCAGUGAAUUUCGGGGCAAUCUGCGUAGGAUAGGUGGGAGACUUUGAUGUCGGGCUUCCGGGUUCGGCGGAGUCACCGUUGAAAUACCACCCUGAUUGCUCUGGGAUUCUAACCUGCGUCCGUCAUCCGGACGAGGGACACUGCCUGGUGGGCAGUUUGACUGGGGCGGUCGCCUCCAAAAACGUAACGGAGGCGUGCGAAGGUUCCCUCAGGUUGAUUGGAAACCAACCGUAGAGUGCAAACGCACAAGGGAGCUUAACUGUGAGACCGACAGGUCGAACAGGUGCGAAAGCAGGCGUUAGUGAUCCGGUGGUCCCGCAUGGAAGGGCCAUCGCUCAUCGGAUAAAAGGUACUCUGGGGAUAACAGGCUGAUCGCGCCUGAGAGUUCACAUCGGCGGCGCGGUUUGGCACCUCGAUGUCGGCCCAUCGCAUCCUGGGGCUGGAGCAGGUCCCAAGGGUUCGGCUGUUCGCCGAUUAAAGCGGUACGCGAGCUGGGUUUAAAACGUCGUGAGACAGUUUGGUCCCUAUCUGCCAUGGGCGAAGGAUACUUGAGAGGAGCUGACCUUAGUACGAGAGGACCAGGUUGGACGCACCCCUGGUGAGCCAGUUGUCGCGCCCGCGGCAUAGCUGGGUAGCCAUGUGCGGAACGGAUAACCGCUGAAAGCAUCUAAGCGGGAAGCCGGCCUCAAGACCAAGUAUCCCAGGCGCAAGCCUCUAAAGACCCGUUGUAGACUACAACGUUGAUAGGCCAGGUGUGGAAGUGCAGCAAUGUACGGAGCUGACUGGUACUAAUAGGUCGUGCGGCUUGACCCU
rnacentral:rRNA from 1 species